rnacentral:rRNA from 1 species
CAGCACCUCAAGUGGUCAGGAUGAUUAUUGGGCCUAAAGCAUCCGUAGCCGGCGCUGUAAGUUUUCGGUUAAAUCUGUACGCUCAACGUACAGGCUGCCGGGAAUACUGCAGCGCUAGGGAGUGGGAGAGGUAGACGGUACUCGGUAGGAAGGGGUAAAAUCCUUCGAUCUAUUGAUGACCACCUGUGGCGAAGGCGGUCUACCAGAACACGUCCGACGGUGAGGGAUGAAAGCUGGGGGAGCAAACCGGAUUAGAGACCCGAGUAGUCC